GCAGGAGUGAAAACACAGCAGCUGCCCGGACGGCCUGGCACGGACUACACGGCGUGUUGUUGUUUUUGUUGCUGGACAGCAGUGAAGAAAAUGUUGGCCUUUACUCAGAAAAUAUGUUGGCAUCAGCUCGCGUUCGCCGUCUGCGACUGGUUAGCAAGAGCGCCGAGGGUAUGUUGAUUCUCCAACAAGGUCUGCUAUGCCCUGCUGUGAGUGGCCUGCCAGAAGGCCGCACCUCAUAAUAUGGCUGAAUCCGCCAAGACGUCCCAGAACCCAAAUCCUCCUUGGCUCACUCUGCUGCUGCAGCCCCUGCUGAGGAAAACCCCCUCAUUACCCGGCCUUCAUUUUCCAUCCCCCCACAAACCCUCUUUGUUCCAUGGCCCAUUUGGCUGUUAUAUCUCAACACUUAAAAGCAAUUAUUCCUAAAUAUGAAUGCUCCCUAACAGACGUCUCCAGACACUCAAAAUAUAUUUUUCUUCCUUCAUCUUCCUCUCUGCCUCAUGGGGAAAAACAAAAGGAGGAGAAAUCAAGGUGUCUGAUGUCUGCAGGCCAACACACAC